AUUGAACGCUGGCGGCAUGCUUUACACAUGCAAGUCGAACGGUAACAGGUUAAGCUGACGAGUGGCGAACGGGUGAGUAAUGCAUCGGUACGUGCCCGGUCGUGGGGGAUAACGCAGCGAAAGCUGCGCUAAUACCGCAUACGAUCUGAGGAUGAAAACGGGGGACCGUAAGGCCUCGCGCGAUCGGAGCGGCCGAUGUCAGAUUAGGUAGUUGGUGGGGUAAAGGCUCACCAAGCCAACGAUCUGUAGCUGGUCUGAGAGGACGACCAGCCACACUGGGACUGAGACACGGCCCAGACUCCUACGGGAGGCAGCAGUGGGGAAUUUUGGACAAUGGGCGAAAGCCUGAUCCAGCAAUGCCGCGUGCAGGAAGAAGGCCUUCGGGUUGUAAACUGCUUUUGUACGGAGCGAAAAGGUCUCCUCUAAUACAGGGGGCUCAUGACGGUACCGUAAGAAUAAGCACCGGCUAACUACGUGCCAGCCGCCGCAGUAA
rnacentral:rRNA from 1 species